rnacentral:rRNA from 1 species
CGCGUGAGUGAAGAAGGUUUUCGGAUCGUAAAGCUCUGUUGUUGGUGAAGAAGGAUAGAGGUAGUAACUGGCCUUUAUUUGACGGUAAUCAACCAGAAAGUCACGGCUAACUACGUGCCAGCAGCCGCGGUAAUACGUAGGUGGCAAGCGUUGUCCGGAUUUAUUGGGCGUAAAGCGAGCGCAGGCGGAAAAAUAAGUCUAAUGUGAAAGCCCUCGGCUUAACCGAGGAAUUGCAUCGGAAACUGUUUUUCUUGAGUGCAGAAGAGGAGAGUGGAACUCCAUGUGUAGCGGUGGAAUGCGUAGAUAUAUGGAAGAACACCAGUGGCGAAGGCGGCUCUCUGGUCUGCAACUGACGCUGAGGCUCGAAAGCAUGGGUAGCGAACAGGAUUAGAUACCCUGGUAGUCCAUGCCGUAAACGAUGAGUGCUAAGUGUUGGGAGGUUUCCGCCUCUCAGUGCUGCAGCUAACGCAUUAAGCACUCCGCCUGGGGAGUACGACCGCAAGGUUGAAACUCAAAGGAAUUGACGGGGGCCCGCACAAGCGGUGGAGCAUGUGGUUUAAUUCGAAGCAACGCGAAGAACCUUACCAGGUCUGGACAUCUAGCGCCAAUCGUAGAGAUACGAUGUUCCCUUCGGGGACGCUAAGACAGGUGGUGCAUGGCUGUCGUCAGCUCGUGUCGUGAGAUGUUGGGUUAAGUCCGCAACGAGCGCAACCGUGAU